rnacentral:rRNA from 1 species
AAUUCCUGGCUCAGGAUGAACGCUAGCUACAGGCUUAACACAUGCAAGUCGAGGGGCAGCAUGGUCUUAGCUUGCUAAGGCUGAUGGCGACCGGCGCACGGGUGAGUAACACGUAUCCAACCUGCCGUCGUACUCUUGGCCAGCCUUCUGAAACGGAAGAUUAAUCCAGGAUGGGAUCAUGAGUUCACAUGUCCGCAUGAUUAAAGGUAUUUUCCGGUANACGAUGGGGAUGCG